GGGCCGCUAGCUCAACGGUAGAGCAGCAGCCUUUUAAGCUGUUGGUUCAGGGUUCGAGCCCCUGGCGGCUCA
rfam:Microgenomates (Gottesmanbacteria) bacterium GW2011_GWC2_39_8 TT63_C0007, whole genome shotgun sequence.